rnacentral:misc_RNA from 1 species
GCGGAUGAAGCAGCAGAUGAGGCGGCACUGUUCGCGCUGCUGAGGGCGGAGCUCACAAUGGCAGAACCACUGGCUUGAGCGGAAGAAAGCUGAGAACCAAUGCUGGAUGCAAUAGAUGAUGCAGCAGAGCCAGCAGCACCGGUUUGUGAGGCGGCAGAAUUGACGGCAGAUGAGACCUGGCCGGCAAUAGAGCUAGCAAUGGACUGAGCAGCAGAGCCAGUGGGG